rnacentral:lncRNA from 1 species
AUGCCUGCCUGCGGCUGCAUUUUUCACAUGCCUUCCCAAGGAGAUCUCUAUCGAGGCAGGGUGAGGACGGGAGGUUUGAGGCCUGUGGUUUGCAAGCUGCUGUGCACCGCCCUGGGUGCCAGGAGCUGUCCCCGUGCGAGGGACACGGGGCAACCCGCAGGCAAAGCCACGGGCUGGGGAGAAACGCGGUGCCCGGCAGGUUUCAGAGCGCUGCCUGGAAAGCAGGUGGGCAGGCAGCAAGGGCUGCUGGCACGGGGGAGGACGGCCUUGCAAGGAGGCCAAAACGCAGAGCAAAUACCUGCUGGCCUCCCUGCCAGAGCCCGGCACACGUGCGCUGCGCUCCCGGCCCCGCUCUGCGCCUGCCAGCCCAGCAACGUCGGGAGCAGGUGCCCAUUAAACGUGUCCGUAAAUCAGAUGGUGGGAAUGCAAACCAAAAAAAACCAACAAAACACAAAACCACAGGCACAGCAUGAGCACUGGUCCAUCUUCCCUGCUGCAUUUCGUUCCUGCACUUGCAGGAUGCCGGGGGAAGGAAGGGGCGAGCAGCCUCGCGGAGCACAGCGUCCCGCCACGUGCAGUGGAGGGGACGGAUGUCAGAGACCCCACGAGCACGGGAAUGGGGAGGAAGCAUCAGACCUCAGCCCAUUUUGUCUGUCACCGCCUCUGAGAGCCUCAUCCGCAGGCUCUUCGUGGGGCAGCCCCCGGGGGGGAAGCGCAGGGUGGCGGGGGGGAGGCAGCUCAGGACCCUUUCGGUUGUCAGAGCUGUCAGCACUGCCCACGAGUGACGCUGAGGAGCAUCACACUCUCACUGCUAGCACAUCUUGCUGGUGUGGAGCCUGGGGAAGCUCGGAGGACCGUGAAGGCCAAGAGAUACUGCACCGCAGCACCCCAUUGGGACGUCCCAGCUCUCGCACGCCUGCUGGGUUUUACCCCAGGAAACCCACGCUGUGCGGGCAGAGAGCCCCAGUUCACCAAACCUGGGGUUGGAAAUUACUUCUUCCAGCCCCUCCGGGAUGCGGAGAGCCCAGGACAGCAGUGGCUUUGGGAUUCCUGGUGUCGGGACGCUGCUAA